UACGUAGGUGGCAAGCGUUGUCCGGAUUUACUGGGCGUAAAGGGCUCGUAGGCGGCCGACUAAGUCAGACGUGAAAUCCCCCGGCUUAACCGGGGAACUGCGUCUGAUACUGGACGGCUUGAAUUCGGGAGAGGGAUGCGGAAUUCCAGGUGUAGCGGUGAAAUGCGUAGAUAUCUGGAGGAACACCGGUGGCGAAGGCGGCAUCCUGGACCGACAUUGACGCUGAGGAGCGAAAGCCAGGGGAGCAAACGGG
rnacentral:rRNA from 1 species